rnacentral:rRNA from 1 species
AGAGUUUGAUCCUGGCUCAGAAUGAACGCUGGCGGCGUGCCUAACACAUGCAAGUCGAACGAGAAAUCUCCCGCUUGCGGGAGAGAGUAAAGUGGCGCACGGGUGAGUAAUGCGUGGGUAACCUACCCUUGAAUUCGGGAUAACUUCGCGAAAGCGCUGCUAAUACCGGAUACGAUCCCGAGAACCCUGGUUCUCGGGAUGAAAGGUGACCUCUUCAUGAAAGUUGCCGUUCAGGGAGGGGCCCGCGUACCAUUAGCUUGUUGGUAGGGUAAUGGCCUACCAAGGCUACGAUGGGUAGCCGGCCUGAGAGGGCGAUCGGCCACACUGGAACUGAGACACGGUCCAGACUCCUACGGGAGGCAGCAGUGGGGAAUCUUGCGCAAUGGGGGAAACCCUGACGCAGCAACGCCGCGUGGGUGAUGAAGGUUUUCGGAUCGUAAAACCCUGUCAAAAGGGACGAAAUAUAAUUGGUUUAAUAGAUCUUUUAUUUGACGUACCUUUAGAGAAGCCCCGCUAACU